rnacentral:rRNA from 1 species
GUGUCAGCCGCCGCGGUAAUACGUAGGGAGCGAGCGUUGUCCGGAUUUACUGGGUGUAAAGGGUGCGUAGGCGGCUCUGCAAGUCAGGUGUGAAAACUAUGGGCUUAACUCAUAGAUUGCACUUGAAACUGUGGGGCUUGAGUGGAGUAGAGGCAGGUGGAAUUCCCGGUGUAGCGGUGAAAUGCGUAGAGAUCGGGAGGAACACCAGUGGCGAAGGCGGCCUGCUGGGCUUUAACUGACGCUGAGGCCCGAAAGCAUGGGUAGCAAACAGGAUUAGAUACCCUGGUAGUCCAUG